rnacentral:rRNA from 1 species
GUGAACUUGCGGAAAGGAUCAUUG